GUCCUUUAGUCAAACAUUUAUCAUCGUACAGGGAAAGCUUAUACCGAAAUUGUAAACAACAUCGUGUGUUCAAAGCUUUCGGGAAAGUUGAUACCACGAAUUGAUACACAAAGAAAGAUUGACUUUAUGGAAGUGCUAAGUCAAUAUAGCAUGGCCAAUGAUUUGCUGACACUCUCUAUUCUUUGUAAGAUUCGAUGAAUUCUAUUCAUGACAUGGAUAUUGUAAGAAAUAAAAGACAAAUUCGUACAUGGCAAUUUGUAAAUUUAUAGUACAUGACCAGAGCUUGGCUAUGUGAACUCUUUAAAGUCACAAUCACAACGUAAACACAUCCAGCUUAAAAUGAAAUGAAAGAGACCUCUUUGUAGUGGUCAUGACUAAUCAAAUGAAAGCAAGAAUGAAGAAUUGUAACGGCCUUCUGGACAGACUACAGUCAACAAAAGCAAAAACAGUCUUCUCAGGACUCUACUAACCAGGACAAUCUGCAUAUACGAACAUGUAAUAAGUUUUCUUAAUAAAUGUGAGGGAGAUUAAUAGAGUUACAGAUUAAUAUAAAGUUUCACAUUAACAGAUUAACAUAAAAGGUCUUUUGUUCAAUUAAAUAGAAAAUAAAUUAUUGCUUAUAAUCCAAGACGGAAUUAUUCCAUAUAAUACUAAUUAACAUUAAAUAUUAUUUUUAAAAAAUCA